GAGAUGAGUGAAGGAACGCAUCAAGGCACUCUGAAGGAGUUCCAGGCUUCAGUGUGAUGAUGAUGGAGAGUAACAGCCUGGUCUGGACUCUUACUGUCCUGAUGAUAACUGUGAUGUUGUCUCCUGCUGAGGGAGAGGCUCCGUUUGCUGUGAACGUGACUCAGGAUGUGUACGAGGCAGAGGAGAACAGUAACGUCACUCUAACGUGGUUCUUCACUGUCAGCAGAGACACACAACCUCAAGACCUGGUUGU